GACGAACGCUGGCGGCGUGCCUAAUACAUGCAAGUCGAGCGAACAGACGAGGAACUUGCUCCUCUGACGUUAGCGGCUGACGGGUGAUUAAAACGUGGAUAACCUAGCUAUAGGACUGGGAUAACUUCGAGAAACCGGAGCUAAUACCGGGUAAUAUAUUGAACCUAAUAUUUCAAUAGUGAAAUACGGUUUUGCUGUAACUACUAGAUGGAUCCGCGCCGCAUGAGCUAGUUGGUAAGGUAACGGCUUACCAAGGCAGCGAUGCGUAGCCGACAUGAUAGGGUGAUCGGCCACACUGGAACUGAGACACGGCCCAGACUCCUACGGGAGGCCGCAGUAGGGAAUCUUCCGCAAUGGGCGAAAGCCUGACGGAGCAACGCCGCGUGAGUGAUGAAGGUCUUCGGAUCGUAAAACUAUGUUAUUAGGGAAGAACAAAUGUGUAAGUAACUAUGCACGUCUUGACGGUACCUAAUCAGAAAGCCACGGCUAACUACGUG
rnacentral:rRNA from 1 species